GAUUUCAACUGAAAAAGUCAUCAACAACAAAGUUGUAUAACUCAUCAAGAUCUAUAACUUUUAUUUUGGUCAUUUGUUCAUUCGAUAAAGUGAUAGUAACAUUGUUCAUAAAAUUAUAUAUCUCAUUUGGUUUUAUAAACUAUAAGAGAGAUGUAAAUUUUAUGAACAAUAUUACUAUCACUUUGUCAGAUAAAGAAAAUGACCAAAAUAAAAACUGUAUGUCUUGAUGAGUUCUACAACUUUUAUGUUCAUGACUUUUUCAACUAAAUUU
rnacentral:pre_miRNA from 1 species